AUGACUAUUAAUGAUACUAGCGAAAAAAAUAUUAAUUUACAUCCAGAUAUAAUGCAAACUUCAGAAAACGAAAAAAAUGAUGCAAAGGAAAAGGAACAGAAUGAAAAAGAGGAAGGUGAAAGAAAAAAAAUAUCUACUACAAACGAAAGCAAUAUUAGUGACGAACAGAAUAAUAAUAAAGUUAAUAGGAGUGAGAAGGAUAUGGAAAAAACAAAUAUAAAAAUUAACUUAGAUGACGAUAAAAAUUUUUUAUUAAGUUUGAAUAACAAAAGAAAUAUAAUUAUAAUUCGAGAUAUUAAUUCACAGCACAUUAACACGAUAAAAAAUAUUAUAUCAAAGGCAACGAAUAUACAACCAACAGAUGUUAUAAAUAUAAGAAACGAUGUAAAUAAUACUAUUUUUAUUACUUUAAAAAAUGAAAAAAAAACAGAAAUAUUAGCACAAUAUUUAAAAACCAAAUCAAUAAAUGAUAAAAUGUUAAAUGUACGUAUUAAAACAACUCAAAAUAUAAAAAAUAUAAUCGAAAAUAAUAUUUUUAAAUGUAUUACAACUAAUGCUAUUGCAGUUUCUGCUCCAUUAACUACAGUUUCUACUCCAUUAACUACAGUAGCUACUCCAUUAACUACAGUAGUUACUCCAGUUAUUAGUCCAAUCACUAAUAACAAUAGUAGUAGUAGUAGUAGUGAUAGUAGUAGUGGUGGUGGAAGUGAUGGUGGAAGUGGUGGUGGAAGUGGUGGUGGAAGUGGUGGUGGAAGUGGUGGUGGUAAUACUAACGUAAGUAAUAAUAACAACAACAACAAUAACAACAACAAUAACAACAACAAUAACAACAACAAUAACAAUAACAAUAACAAUAACAAUAACAAUAACAAUAACAAUAGUUUAGUAACAAAUGUUGAUAAUAAUAGAAAUAAUGAUAUGAGUAAUGGAGUUAUAAAUAAUGAGAAUGUAGCAACAAAUAUAAGUCCAAGUAAUAUGGUUCCACAUAGUUUAGCUCAAAAUGGUUUGAUUGUACAUGCUGCAUCAAUAACUGGUAAUAGUAACAAUAAUAAUCAUAUAAAUAUGAUAAACAAUUAUAGUAUACCAAUAAAUCCUAAAAAUUAUUUUAAUUAUAGUAAUUUAUAUUUUUAUCCUACAAACACAUUAAAUUGUUAUGAUGGUAUGUAUUCACAUGUUAAUGUUAGUAAUAAUGGUAGUACUUGUAGUAGUAAUACUGCUACAAAUUCUAUGAUUGACAAUUAUAUUAAUUUUUAUAAUAGUUAUAAUAUGAGUGGUGGUACAGGUUAUAAUACAUUAACAAAUAUAAAUGGAUGUGAUAUAUAUAAUAUUUAUAACAAUAAUAUUUCUUAUGGUCAAGAAUUUAAAAAUAGAUAUAUUUAUACUACUGCUACUAAUAAUAAUAAUAAUUCUGGUAGUAAUAAUAAUAAUAAUAGUGGUAGUAAUAAUAAUAAUUCUGGUAGUAGUAUUAGUGUUAAUAGUGUUAGUAAUAAUUAUUAUAAUAAAAGUAUGAAAUAUAAUAGAGGGAAAGAUUAUAAUAGUAAUAAUUUAGUUAGAAAUAAUAUUGAUAAUUAUAAUAAUGUUAUGUCAGCUGGAGUAGGUUAUUUUCAUCCAAACGUUUACAAUAAUUAUAACAAUAAUAAUAUGAACAGUAAUAAUUUAUAUAAUAAUAAUUAUAUGUAUCAAGAUAAUAGUGGUACAAUUAUGAAUACAGUAAAUACUACGCAUAUGAAUAAUAAUAAUAAUAAUAAUAAAAAAAAUGACAAAUAUUAUAACGAUGAUAUGAAGAAAUAUUAUUUUGAUAAUAAUUUAAAUGAUAAACAUAUAUAUACAAAUACUGUUACUAGUGGUAAUGAUUUUAAGAAUGGUCAUGUAAUGGGAUUAAAUACAGGAUAUAAUAAUAAUAAUAAUAUAAUUAAUAAUAGUAAUGGAACAAAUAAUAAUAAUAAUAAUAAUCACCGUUACCAUCAUAACUAUCAUCAUCACUCACAUAACCAUCAUAACAACAAUAACAACAAUAACAGUAAUAACAACAGUAAUAAUAAUAACAGUAAUAACAGUAAUAAUAAUAAUUUUAGUAGAAUGGGAAAACAUUAUAAAGAUGUAGAUAAUAAAACAGUUUCUAAUGGUGUGACGGGUUCUAAUAAUGUAAAUAAUAAUAGUAGUAAGCAUACUGUUGUUAAUGAUAAAAAAAAUGAUGAAGUUGGUAGCAGUUUUGGUAGUACGAAUAGUACUAUUACUAACAAUAAUGAUAAUAAUAAUGAUAAUAAUAAUGAUAAUAAUAAUAGUAGUAAUAAUAGUAGUAAUAAUAGUAGUAAUAAAAGUAAUAGGAGUCGAAGUAGUAGUAACUGUAAUACAAAACAAUACAAUAAAAAUAAUGAUCAUGGGAACAAUAAUGAUACUAGUGGUAGUGGAAGUAAUGACAGUAGUACUAAAAAUAGUAGUACUAACAAUAAUAAUAAU
rnacentral:lncRNA from 1 species